rnacentral:rRNA from 1 species
GCACAACGCGAAGAACCUUACCAAGGCUUGACAUCCCCUUGACUGGCACAGAGAUGUGCCCUCUCCUUCGGGAGCAAGGGUGACAGGUGGUGCAUGGUUGUCGUCAGCUCGUGUCGUGAGAUGUUGGGUUAAGUCCCGCAACGAGCGCAACCCUUAUCCUUAGUUGCCAGCAUUUAAGGUGGGCACUCUAAGGAGACUGCCGAUGAUAGAUCGGAGGAAGGUGGGGAUGACGUCAAAUCAUCAUGCCCCUUAUGUCUUGGGCUACACACGUGCUACAAUGGUCGGUACAAAGGGGAGCGAAGGAGUGAUCUGGAGCAAAUCCCAAUAAACCGAUCUCAGUUCGGAUUGUAGGCUGCAACUCGCCUACAUGAAGUCGGAGUUGCUAGUAAUCGCGAAUCAGAACGUCGCGGUGAAUGCGUUCCCGGGUCUUGUACACACCG